UACGGGGGGGGCAAGCGUUGUUCGGAAUUACUGGGCGUAAAGGGCUCGUAGGCGGCCAACUAAGUCAGACGUGAAAUCCCUCGGCUUAACCGGGGAACUGCGUCUGAUACUGGAUGGCUUGAGUUCGGGAGAGGGAUGCGGAAUUCCAGGUGUAGCGGUGAAAUGCGUAGAUAUCUGGAGGAACACCGGUGGCGAAGGCGGCAUCCUGGACCGAUACUGACACUGAGGAGCGAAAGCCAGGGGAGCAAACGGG
rnacentral:rRNA from 1 species